rnacentral:tRNA from 1 species
UUAAAGCAAGGCACUGAAAAUGCCUAGAUGAGUGUACCAACUCCAUAAACA